CGAACCAUUAAGCUCUGCCCCAACCACUGUGUUCUGCUCCCCAGCUGCAUUUUCUGUUCUCUUCCCUUCCAGUUCUGAAACUGCCUGUUCUUUUCUUUCCUGUGGAGCCAUGGACUCACUUGCAACAGCACGAGUUUCACUACGUUCCCCCUUCUGUUCUGCUGAAAAAGAAAUGGAACAGCGACAUGCCUCACGUGUUUGUAUGUCUGACCCGGAGACCAUCACAAUAGUGUCACACCACAGAGAUGUCUACCUCACCUCUCAUCCAAUAAUUCUGUUAUUGAUCCUGCAACAUUUCUCCUAAUGUAAAAGAUUACUCUAAUUUGGGUAGUGUCAUAAAACAAAGCAGAAGAAUAUGAAAUAUACUAUUACACCGAAAGCCAAACACUGAAUAAAGCGACAGAACAGAGAAAACAGUGAUGUGUAAACAAACAGCUCUGUAAGAGAAAGAAUUUGUCCUCGUCUCUAUUAAGGACAAAAGGCCUCACUGCAAAUCAGCUUGUGAAGUCAAAUAAGAAAAAUUGGGGAAUGCCAGGAGUAUGGCUGCUCUGACAGCUUCAAAUGGCUCUUGCAGUCCAUAUGCAUUACCUUUUAGUAUAGGAGCACUUACUCGAUUUCUCCCACAGGAAUCCCGCCUUGCUCAAUGCACGGAGCAGACUGGCUGCGGGGCGGGAUCUGAGCUAUACAAUACAGGAGCCUACUGUCUCUACCAGACCUGCCUCAUUUAUAAUUUGGGAGCUGCUGAGUGAGUGAGACAAGGGUUGGCACAAAGGGAACAGACAGUCUAGCUACCACUAAGGAAGCCAGGAAAGUCACUCUGAAGAGCUGAGGUUUAAGUCUGUGGAAAAGGCAGGGAUAAAUUAACUUUCAAAAGGUGAUCACCCACUGGAUCUAAUCCUCAUUAUCUGAGUGCUCAGCUGGAAACUAGGAGCUUGAUUUGCAGUACCGCUGUGCUCACAUUAUAUAUUUGAACACACAUACUCUAAGAGCUCUAAAAAUAGCUAAAACUUAGGCACGUCCAAUUGGCACUCAAAAUUAGAGGGGACUCUACAUUACUCUGUGUGGUGCGGUUUCCUCCUACAGAGGGGUAACACCAUCCCAUCAUCUUGCUGCAGUUCUGUGAAGAUAAAUUGUUCAUAGAAGAACAAUUUGUGUGGAGAAAAGUUAAUAGAAAAACAGUACUUUUGUCUUCAGAGAAUGCUUGAAAUGGAGCACAGGCAAUACAACAGGAACAAUGCAUUCACCAGUGACAACAAAAAGAGAGCUGUUCAUUAGCGGCUCUGAUGUUCAAGUACAAUCCAUCACACGACACCAUAUAUUGGGUGCGUUGGAUACAGUGAGGUUUUGUGGCAGGACACAGUCUUUAAUUCAUGUGCCUGUACAAUAUCAUUAUGCAUUUUCACCCAGGAACUGCAUAGUAUAUCCUACAGACUUCUACCAUCCAGCCUAAUUGAAACUGAUAACAUUUACAGGCUAAAACAGGGCUUGAUGAGAUCAGGGUAAGCAGAUAGAUUAGAUCCAAAAAAGCCUGAAAAAGGGCUUCUGAUUAUCUGUACAUCUAGCUAGAGCAACAUUUUAAGUAUUACAGAAGGUUCUGGUAAAAAAUGUGUGUUAGCUCAAAGGAUAAAAAGAUUUUCUGGGCCAAAACACUCACCAAAAAUCAAUGGUAGUGUUUAUAGGGCCAUGGUUGACUGACCUCAGGCAUAGCAUUUAAAGAUAUGCAAGAAUUUCAUUUCUAUUCCGCUUAUCUGUUGUCAUUCAACUGAUCACUCAGCUGAUAAUAAAGUAAACGUGGUUUUGUUUUUAUUGCUGGAAUACUUUUAAACUGAGAUCAUACUUGCUCGGUAAAUAAAGGCUAAUGAACACAUUCCUGUACCCUUCUUAGUUGCCAAAUUCCCCCAGAUUUUGGAGGCAGGCUGUAGAGAUCAAAAAUUGCACUGUGGAGCAAAUUCCUAAAACUCAACAACAGGCAGUCAUCCUCUUGUAAAGCAGCACGAAAGUUGACGGUAUCACUGCCAUAGAGCUGCUGACUGCAGAAGAGCUGUCAACUCUACGCAGGAGGAGAUACCCUGCAGCUGAAAACACAUUGCU